rnacentral:piRNA from 1 species
UCCACAUUCUCAGGGCCUCCAAAUUGCAGG